GUCAGGAUAGCUCAGU
rnacentral:tRNA from 22 species